GUCAUUAUUUGAUCACAAAACCAAAUAUUUCAUGGUUAUUUGAAUUUUUUGAUUUUCUUGUUUAAAAAUAUAAUUACUGAUAGUGUGACUAUAUUGGCAAAACAUAAGUGAUUAUGUGAUCACUUUGACACCCCAAUCCCUCAUUGCAUAAAUUUAUGAGACCCCUCACUCAGGUUUUUAGAAAAUCUGCCAAAUCAACCAAUAUUAUUGCCAGGAUUGGAAAUUUUUCCAAUGAUGCUGAUUUCCAACCAGCAACAUCUCAACUAAAAAUGCUGUGUGCAACAAAAUCUGAUUGUAAUAUAAUCUUGGUUCAACACUUUGCUCACAAGGAUCCAUCUAAAAAGAUACAUUCUACUCUCUGUUUUAAAGACCUUUCAGGAUCCUCUGUUUUUCCCUUCAUAAUACAAUGUACUCACCUUUAAAAAUUGGAUAACAGAACAAGUGUUGUCAUAUCCUUGUUAGCAAAAUUUGAUCACAUGGGAG
rnacentral:lncRNA from 1 species